GAUGAACGCUGGCGGCGUGCCUAAUACAUGCAAGUCGAGCGAACAGACGAGGAGCUUGCUCCUCUGACGUUAGCGGCGGACGGGUGAGUAACACGUGGAUAACCUACCUAUAAGACUGGGAUAACUUCGGGAAACCGGAGCUAAUACCGGAUAAUAUAUUGAACCGCAUGGUUCAAUAGUGAAAGACGGUUUUGCUGUCACUUAUAGAUGGAUUCGCGCCGCAUUAGCUAGUUGGUAAGGUAACGGCUUACCAAGGCAACGAUGCGUAGCCGACCUGAGAGGAUGAUCAGCCACACUGGAACUGAGACACGGUCCAGACUCCUACGGGAGGCAGCAGUAGGGAAUCUUCCGCAAUGGGCGAAAGCCUGACGGAGCAACGCCGCGUGAGUGAUGAAGGUCUUCGGAUCGUAAAACUCUGUUAUUAGGAAAGAACAAAUGUGUAAGUAACUAUGCACGUCUUGACGGUACCUAAACAGAAAGCCACGGCUAACUACGUG
rnacentral:rRNA from 1 species